rnacentral:rRNA from 1 species
CCCUUAGAUGUUCUGGGCCGCACGCGCGCUACACUGAUGCAUUCAACGAGUCUAAAACCUGGUCUGAUAGGGCUGGGUAAUCUUUUGAAAGUGCAUCGUGAUUGGGAUAGAUGAUUGCAAUUCUUCAUCUUCAACGAGGAAUGCCUAGUAAACGCAAGUCAUCAGCUUGCAUUGAUUACGUCCCUGCCCUUUGUACACACCGCCUGUCGCUCCUACCGAUUGAAUGAUCCGAUGAAUACCAUGGAUUGAGAGUACGAAUGGGUUCGCUCAUUUCUGCUGCUCGAGAAGUGGAGUAAAUCUUAUCAUUUAGAGGAAGGAGAAGUCGUAACA